rnacentral:lncRNA from 1 species
AGGCAUAUGUAACAAGCGCGACAGCGAAAUAUUGAAAAUCUAAAUAUUAUGUUAACUAUAAACAACACGUGCGGCUAGCAAACAAACAACACCUGCACUUGUUUACGACACACGUGCAAGGUACGGUAGUGGGGACAACCCUUAUAAGAAGGCGAGCCGCACGAGUUGUACCAUUCUUGUGUCGAACUCCGUACAGAGAAUAUCCAAUAAAAGUAACCCGUGACAGUGAACCAUUGUUUAACUGGCGCUAUGCGUCCUCCACAAAGGUCACUGUUACCUUGGGAUCAGAGUAUAAUAUUCGUACUCUAACAUCAGAAGUAGAGGAUCGUCCUGCUGCCCACCCAUUAUAUUGAAAAAGACGGCCACAAAGGAUGAAACUAAGUUUCAAAUACUCGUAUUAUCCUGAUAAGAUAAUAAUCGUGGAUGGAGUCAGGAUCGAGGAUAAUGGUGCCUACCUGCAUUUGAAUACUGUUGUUACGGUGAGUCGUUUUCAUACUGGAACUUUAUUGUUAUUGACUUCAUUGCUGGGUGUAUUUUAAUUUUUAAUAAUGAGGAAAUUGAUUUAAAAUUAACUUGGAAAGUACUAUUUCUCUUUAUUUUAAAACAAAAUUGACGAGACAUAUUCCCGCAAUACGUGUCAAUCAUAAUUCAAACCGCGUUUUCAAAUCGGUUUUCAUCAUCGUCAAAUCUUGGUAUUUUGGUCUAAAAAUGUUUUGAAUUGGUGCAGACACGCUAACGCUGCGUGGUUUAAGCUGUAUUUUCUCACUCCAAGCAAUAAAGAAAUGAACUUUCGUUAAAUUACAACGUGAUUUGUAAUCUACCGUCAUUAAUCAAAUCUUUAUAAACCGAUUGAAAGAGUCAUGUGAAUGUGAUAAUACACCUAGUUAUUUUGUUUCAUGUGACCACUGCUAAAUGACGACGAGUGAAUGACAAACGGCGAAGGCGUUACAGCAUGGCACACUCUGAGAGUGGCAGCCGUGCCGCGUGUGUGCCGUGUGGUGGUGACUUCGUGGCAGCGUAUUGUAUACUAAGCUGGCGCUUGAUUGCCGAUAGCCGCCAUUUCUUUUAAUAGAUUAUCAGAAUGACCGAACAAUCUUCAGAAAGCAAGAAACGUUUCGAUUCCAAAUGUGCUAAAGUAAAAUUAUUUCAUCCAGGAGACUUUGUGCUUUGUAAAGAUACCCAAUGGUCUAAUAACAAGCUAGGUCCUAAAUAUUUAGGGCCAUAUCAAAUUGUAAAAAUUAUUGGCAAUGAUCGAUACGAAAUACAAAGUCUUCGUCCUGGCCAAAAAAAAUACUACAAUAGCUCAUGAACAUCUCAGAUUAAUACCAAACCUGAAUUUAGAAUGAUCCGUGAUAGCAGUUUACAAGAAAUAAAAAAAAAAAUGGUUGUAAAGGUCACUUGUCAAAACAAGCCACAAAAUAGCCUCUGAGUUCAUCGAAUAUUUCUGAGACUGGAACUGCUGCUAAUCCAAGCAACUAAAGCCUCUGAGUUUGGCAAACGUCCCUUUCACCGUGAUGUUGUUGAAACAAGCCAUAUUUUCGGCCGCUGAGUUUGACAACUGAACCUUCAGCCAGAACAAGCUUAUAAAAAUUUAAGCCUCUGAGUCUGGCGAAAAGUAAAAUCACCAGAAGCAACAACCAACAAAUAUCAAAAACAAGCCACAAAAUAGCCUCUGAGUUCAUCGAAUAUUUCUGAGACUGGAACUGCUGCUAAUCCAAGCAACUAAAGCCUCUGAGUUUGGCAAACGUCCCUUUCACCGUGAUGUUGUUGAAACAAGCUAUAUUUUUGGCUGCUGAGUUUGUCUACUGAACUUUCAACCAGAACAAGCUUAUAAAAUUUAAGCCUCUGAGUCUGGCGAAAAGUAAAAAAUAUUUGGUUGAUUAACAUCUUCACCCAUUUUAAUCCGAUCUUUGAACAAAUAACGGACUAGGAAACUAUUAUUUUUUCAUUUGUGAGAUCGUAUCGAUGGAACGAUAUAGACUUACAACUGGGCGUAACAAUGCAAUUUAAAGAAUGAAACGAUUAUUAUUGAAUUUGCCAAUUGUAAGCUCGUGUCGAUGCACCGAUAUAGACUUACAACAACUGACUUAACAGCACAAAUACUUAAUUACAAAUUGAAUAUGCUACUACAGUGAACUAAAAGAUACCCUUGUUUCAGAACAAACGCAAGCUCAGAGCACGAGCUGCGUAUCAGUAUGGCCGUGAUAGCGCGACAGCGAAAUAUUGAAAAUCUAAAUAUUAUGUUAACUGUAAACAACACGUGCGGCUAGCAAACAAACAACACCUGCACUUGUUUACGACACACGUGCAAGGUACGGUAGUGGGGACAACCCUUAUAAGAAGGCGAGCCGCACGAGUUGUACCAUUCUUGUGUCGAACUCCGUACAGAGAACAUCCAAUAAAAGUAACCCGUGACAGUGAA